rnacentral:tRNA from 1 species
UCCCUGGUGGUUUAGGGGUUAAGACUCUGCACUUCCAAUGCAAGGGGUGCGGGUUCAAUCCCUGGUCGGGGAA